GCGCGGGGGCAGUCCGGCGGCGGGAAGGACCGGCAGAGCGACACGCUUCCUGGAACCUCAGCGGCCAUGGCCGAGCACGCCGGUCGCCGCUGCUGCCUGGGCUGGGACUUCAGCACGCAGCAGGUAAAAGUUGUUGCAGUUGAUGCAGAGCUGAAUGUCUUCUAUGAGGACAGUGUGCAUUUUGACAGAGACCUUCAAGAAUUUGGGACUCAGGGUGGAGUUCAUGUUCACGAGGAUGGGCUGACAGUGACUUCUCCAGUCCUGAUGUGGGUCCAGGCUUUGGAUAUCAUCUUGGAGAAGAUGAAGGCUUCGGGCUUUGACUUCUCUCAAGUCCUCGCCUUGUCUGGGGCGGGCCAGCAACAUGGAAGCGUGUACUGGAAGGCUGGGGCCAGCCAGGUUCUGGCAAGCUUGUCACCGGACCUCCUGUUGCACGAGCAGCUGCAGACAUCCUGCUGUCUGGACAGAGGCUCAGGUGCUAACAGCCCACAUCACACUGGUCCCCUCCAGCCCAGCAGGACUCUGUUGCGAGUUCCCCCCUCAGGAAUCUCCUCCUGGGACGUGAUGCCUCCCGGUGAUGCUGGGAAGGCCUGUUUCUCCAUCAGUGACUGCCCGGUGUGGAUGGACUCCAGCACCACAGCCCAGUGCCACCAGCUGGAGGCCACCGUGGGUGGGGCCCAGGCUCUCAGCUGCCUCACCGGGUCCCGUGCCUAUGAGCGAUUUACAGGAAACCAAAUUGCAAAGCUUUACCAGCAGAACCCCGAGGCCUACUCACACACAGAGAGAAUUUCCUUGGUCAGUAGUUUUGCUGCUUCUCUGUUCCUUGGGUCUCACUCUCCUAUUGACUACAGUGAUGGUUCUGGAAUGAACUUGUUGCGGAUCCAGGAUAAAGUCUGGUCGCAGGCUUGCCUUGGUGCCUGUGCACCUCAUCUAGAGGAGAAGCUCGGCCUGCCAGUGCCGUCAUGCUCGGUUGUGGGGGCCAUUUCUUCCUACUUCGUCCAGCGCUAUGGGUUCCCUCCAGGAUGCAAGGUGGUGGCCUUCACUGGGGACAACCCAGCGUCGCUGGCAGGCAUGAGGCUGGAGGAAGGUGACAUUGCGGUCAGCCUGGGCACCAGUGACACCCUAUUUCUCUGGCUCCAGGAGCCCACGCCCACCCUGGAAGGCCACAUCUUCUGCAACCCGGUUGACCCCCAGCACUACAUGGCGCUCCUGUGCUUUAAAAAUGGCUCCCUCAUGAGAGAGAAGAUCCGCGAUGAGUUGGCUUCCAGUUCCUGGAGCGAGUUCUCUAAGGCGCUGCAGUCCACAGAGAUUGGGAACUGCGGAAACCUGGGUUUUUAUUUUGAUGUAAUGGAGAUCACCCCUGAAAUUAUUGGGCGUCAUAGGUUUAGUGCAGAAAACCAUGAGGUCUCAGCAUUCCCCUGGGACGUGGAGAUUCGAGCACUGAUCGAAGGACAGUUCAUGGCCAAGAAGAUCCAUGCCGAGGGCCUGGGCUAUCGAGUCAUGCCUAAGACAAAGAUUUUGGCCACCGGAGGAGCAUCUCACAACAGAGACAUCUUGCAGGUGCUGGCAGAUGUGUUUGGCACCCCAGUGUAUGUCAUAGACACAGCCAACUCAGCCUGUGUGGGCUCUGCUUACCGAGCUUUCCAUGGCCUUGCAGCUGGAACAGAUGUGCCCUUUUCAGAGGUUGUGAAGUUAGCCCCAAAUCCCAGAUUAGCUGCUGCCCCAACCCCAGGAGCGUCUCAGGUAAGAGACCAUCAGAGUUCAUUCGUGGCAUUUGCAUCGUGAAAAUCAACUACGUUCUUUUUUCCAAAAGGUAAGUUUUUCUUUAUCACCUACAUUAUAGUUGAUGUGCUCAACUAAAGGGGAAAUCUACUUUUUUUUUAAUUGUCAAGGAAACAGAGCAAAAGAAGACAGGUUGUCUCUGAGAUUCAGAGAUACGGCUGAUCUUAUAGCCCCAGGGAUCAGAUGGCUCACUGGGCAUAUCUUCCUUGCUCAGAUGCCUUGGGGUGCGCCCUUCUAAUUCACAGGGUUACAGAGGCCACUGAAAGACUCUGUCACUUAAGCAUAAGACGUGCUGGGUUUCUACCAUUCAGAUCUGAAAUCUGGAUCCAAGAAAACUGUGUGUUCACUCAGUCAGAGGGAAGGCAGACCCCACUUGUUACAGGUUGGGUUCCCUGGAACGCAGACCCUGAGUUGUUGAUUAGGAUACAGGAGAUUUAUUAGGGGGCACUCUUGGGAUCUGCAUCUGUUGAAGGAAAAAGGAAGAGGCAGGGCUGGGCAGAGGCAGGAAGUGAGCUGCAGUGCGAUCUCAGUGGAGCCCUCAGUCAAUCCUACAGGAAGUUCUGAAGCUGGGAUGACUCUGGAGUUUUACCCAGUUGUGGUGAGGGGGACGGGCCUUUAUACCCCUUGUCAAUCAGUUAUUGCCUGCAGGCCACCCCAGGAUGGGGUAAGGCAGCUCUCUAUAGCCAAAGCAAUCCACAAAGGAGGCUGCCAGCUGAGGGCUGAGAGAAUAAGUUCUCUGUUCCUGCAGGGCAAUCCGGGUGGUAUGCCAUAGCAUCCAUUUCACCACCCUUCCUGUUUGCACAAGGUUCUUGCAGUCCAGGAGCAGGGGGUGACACAGACAGAGGACUUUAUUACUCACAGUACAGCAGGCAGCAUAAGCUUCACGUUUGCAUCAGUUUUCCUUGGCCCCGAAGUGCCAUCGGGCGGUGUGGAGUGGACCCAGGUGGAUACUGUGCACACACUGUGUCUGUGUCACAAAUGAGGGACCCUGCGCAUUAUAAAGGAGCUGCGAGCAAACCUGUCCAAAGGACACAUCUUUAUCAUCCUGGUCAGCAAACAAAUUUUCCCUCUCCCUAUCUUCCAAGGCUGUUUGCUAUACAAACACCCUUGAAAAGAUAGCCUGGAACAAAAGCUGUCACAAGACAUAUAGAAACACCCUGGAGAAUUGUCUCACAGCUUAUCUUGGAAGCAGAAGCUCAUGCUAUCCAGGUGACUAGAUAACCCACACACAUGGGUCUGCCCAGGCUUCUAUUACUUUCUGUUGUGUGCCCUUCUGUUUAAGAGGGAGUUCAAUGAAGUAGAAAGAUCCUACCUUGAGAUAAAGGGCCUUUGGGUUCUGAUUCUUAUCGUGCCUCUCCCUCUCCGUGUGACCUUCACAUGACCUUGAGCGGCACUCCUCAUCUCUGAACCUCUGUUUCUUCAUCUGGGAAGUGGGGACAUCUGUCUGGCCUACUUUUAACCUGCUAAUUGUGAGGGUUAAAGACAAUCCUUGCCUAUCAUGGCUUUAUUUAUUUUUUUUAUUUUUUUGGCCACGCCUCGCAGCAUGCGGGAUCUUAAUUAGCUCCCCAACCAGGGAUUGAACCUGCGACCCCUGCAGUGGAAGCUCGAAGUCUUAACCAUUGGACCACCAGGGAAGUCCCUAUCAUGGCUUUACUAUACAACAGGAAGUCUGACGGUGUUGCCAGGUCUACGAGGCCCUCCUCCAGCGGUAUGCCAUGCUUGAGCAGAGAAUCCUGACCCAGACCCGGGGGCCUCCGGAGUGAAUUCCACAGGCCCAGCCUCACUGAUUCCACU